rnacentral:rRNA from 1 species
UAAACGAGAGAAGGGCAACAGGGGGAUGCCUUGGCGACACAUGGCGAAGAAGGACGUGGCAAGCUGCGAAAAGCUUCGGGUAGCCGCAAGCAGGCUUUAAUCCGGAGAUAUCCGAAUGGGGAAACCCUGUCGAGGUAAAGCUCGGCAACAGCUGUAAGAAUAAAUAUUGCAGCAUGAGCAAGACCUGCUGAAGUGAAACAUCUCAGUAAGCAGAGGAGAAGAAAGCGAAAGCGAUUCCCUGAGUAGUGGCGAGCGAAAGGGGAGCAGUCUAAACCGGAGGGAUUUAUCCUUUCGGGGUUCGGACUUCGAUAUGGUGAUUGAUUGAUAGGGGAACGGUGUGGAAAAGCCGGCCAAAGGGGGUGAGAGUCCCGUACCUUAAAUUGAGAGAGAACCUAGGAGUAUCCAGAGUAGCACCGGACACGUGAAACCUGGUGUGAAUGCGUGCAGACCACUGCAUAAGACUAAAUACAAGGUGUCGACCGAUAGUGAACAAGUACCGUGAGGGAAAGGUGAAAAGAACCCCUGUUAGGGGAGUUAAAAGUACCUGAAACCUGUUGCCUACAAGCGGUCAGAGCUCUGCAAGGAGUGAUGGCGUACCUUUUGCAUAAUGGGCCUAGGAGUCUAUAUCAGUUGCGAGCUUAAGUGUUUACGACAUGGAGGCGAAGCGAAAGCGAGUUUGAAUAGAGCGUAAGUAACUGGUAUAGAACCCGAAGCGGAGGCGAUCUAGCCAUGGCCAGGUUGAAGCACCGGUAACACGAUGUGGAGGACCGAACCCAUUAACCUUGAGAAGUUAAGGGAUGAGCUGUGGUUAGGAGUGAAAGGCUAAUCAAGCCCCGUAAUAGCUGGUUCUCUCCGAAAUAUAUUUAGGUAUAGCGUUGUACAGUAGUCGAGAGGGGUAAAGCACUGAAAAGGCUAGGGUCCACACCCGGAUACCGAACCUUAUCAAACUCUGAAUACUCUUGAUGUAACUACAGCAGUCAGUCAGUGGGGGAUAAGCUUCAUUGGCGAGAGGGAAACACCCCGGACCAUCGAAUAAGGUCCCAAAGAUAACGCUAAGUGGUACGAAGGAGGUAAAUUUUCUUAGACAAUGGGGAUGUUGGCUUAGAGGCAGCCAUCAUUUAAAAAGUGCGUAAUAGCUUACCCAUCGAGAGAGUUUGCGCCGAAAAUGAUCGGGACUAAAGUGUUACACCGAAUUUGUGGAUUAUAGAGAUAUAAUGGUAGGAGAGCGUUCCAAUUGCGUAGAAGGUUGAGUGGAAGCGAGGCUGGAGUGGUUGGAAGUGAGAAUCUAGGCAUGAGUAACGAUAAGUAUGGUUAAAAUCCAUACCGCCGUAAGGAUAAGGAUUCCUGGGGAAGGUUCGUCCGCCCAGGGUUAGUCGGGAGCUAAGGCGAGGCCGUAAGGAGUAGUCGAUGCACAUUAGGUUAAUAAUCCUAAACCUGCUUAAAGAUGUCUGAGUUGUAUAUUGACGAAUUUGAGGGUGCCAGUCGGGUGAUGAACGUCCCGGUCUAAGGGGUCGAGAGGCUCUGGGGACGCAGAGGCUACGGCUGAUGCGGAUUGGCAGUAUCAAGUUCCGGGAAAAUUUAUACAAUUAAUUGAUAGGCAGCCCGUACCGCAAACCGACACAGGUAUCCGGGAAGAGUAUUCUAAGGCGCGUGAGUUAAAUCUCCCCAAGGAACUCGGCAAAAUGGCCCCGUAUCUUCGGUAGAAGGGGUGCCAACGCGAGUUGGUCUCAGCAAAGAGGCCCAACCGACUGUUUAUCAAAAACACAGCUCUCUGCAAAGUCGCAAGACGACGUAUAGGGAGUGACACGUGACCAAUGCGGAAAGGUGAAAUCUGGUUGUUAACGCUUCUGGACUAAGCCCCCGUGAAUGUCGGCCGUAACUAUAACGGUCCUAAGGUAGCGAAAUUCCUUGUCGGGUAAGUUCCG